rnacentral:rRNA from 1 species
UGGGGAAUAUUGGACAAUGGGCGCAAGCCUGAUCCAGCCAUGCCGCGUGUGUGAAGAAGGCCUUUUGGUUGUAAAGCACUUUAAGCGAGGAGGAGGCUACUUGGAUUAAUACUCUAGGAUAGUGGACGUUACUUGCAGAGUAAGCACCGGCUAACUCUGUGCCAGCAGCCGCGGUAAUACAGAGGGUGCGAGCGUUAAUCGGAUUUACUGGGCGUAAAGCGUGCGUAGGCGGCUUCUUAAGUCGGAUGUGAAAUCCCUGAGCUUAACUUAGGAAUUGCAUUCGAUACUGGGAAGCUAGAGUAUGGGAGAGGAUGGUAGAAUUCCAGGUGUAGCGGUGAAAUGCGUAGAGAUCUGGAGGAAUACCGAUGGCGAAGGCAGCCAUCUGGCCUAAUACUGACGCUGAGGUACGAAAGCAUGGGGAGCAAACAGG